rnacentral:rRNA from 1 species
UGAACGCCGGGGGGCAGGCCUAACACAUGCAAGUCGAGCGGCAGCGGAAAAGUAGCUUGUUACUUUGCCGGCGAGCGGCGGACGGGUGAGUAAUGUCUGGGAAACUGCCUGAUGGAGGGGGAUAACUACUGGAAACGGUAGCUAAUACCGCAUAACGUCGCAAGACCAAAGAGGGGGACCUUCGGGCCUCUUGCCAUCAGAUGUGCCCAGAUGGGAUUAGCUAGUAGGUGGGGUAACGGCUCACCUAGGCGACGAUCCCUAGCUGGUCUGAGAGGAUGACCAGCCACACUGGAACUGAGACACGGUCCAGACUCCUACGGGAGGCAGCAGUGGGGAAUAUUGCACAAUGGGCGCAAGCCUGAUGCAGCCAUGCCGCGUGUAUGAAGAAGGCCUUCGGGUUGUAAAGUACUUUCAGCGGGGAGGAAGGCGUUGAGGUUAAUAACCUCAGCGAUUGACGUUACCCGCAGAAGAAGCACCGGCUAACUCCGUGCCAGCAGCCGCGGUAAUACGGAGGGUGCAAGCGUUAAUCGGAAUUACUGGGCGUAAAGCGCACGCAGGCGGUCUGUCAAGUCGGAUGUGAAAUCCCCGGGCUCAACCUGGGAACUGCAUUCGAAACUGGCAGGCUAGAGUCUUGUAGAGGGGGGUAGAAUUCCAGGUGUAGCGGUGAAAUGCGUAGAGAUCUGGAGGAAUACCGGUGGCGAAGGCGGCCCCCUGGACAAAGACUGACGCUCAGGUGCGAAAGCGUGGGGAGCAAACAGGAUUAGAUACCCUGGUAGUCCACGCCGUAAACGAUGUCGACUUGGAGGUUGUGCCCUUGAGGCGUGGCUUCCGGAGCUAACGCGUUAAGUCGACCGCCUGGGGAGUACGGCCGCAAGGUUAAAACUCAAAUGAAUUGACGGGGGCCCGCACAAGCGGUGGAGCAUGUGGUUUAAUUCGAUGCAACGCGAAGAACCUUACCUACUCUUGACAUCCAGAGAACUUUCCAGAGAUGGAUUGGUGCCUUCGGGAACUCUGAGACAGGUGCUGCAUGGCUGUCGUCAGCUCGUGUUGUGAAAUGUUGGGUUAAGUCCCGCAACGAGCGCAACCCUUAUCCUUUGUUGCCAGCGGUCCGGCCGGGAACUCAAAGGAGACUGCCAGUGAUAAACUGGAGGAAGGUGGGGAUGACGUCAAGUCAUCAUGGCCCUUACGAGUAGGGCUACACACGUGCUACAAUGGCGCAUACAAAGAGAAGCGACCUCGCGAGAGCAAGCGGACCUCAUAAAGUGCGUCGUAGUCCGGAUUGGAGUCUGCAACUCGACUCCAUGAAGUCGGAAUCGCUAGUAAUCGUAGAUCAGAAUGCUACGGUGAAUACGUUCCCGGGCCUUGUACACACCGCCCGUCACACCAUGGGAGUGGGUUGCAAAAGAAGUAGGUAGCUUAACCUUCGGGAGGGCGCUUACCACUUUGUGAUUCAUGACUGGGGUGAAGUCGUAACAAGGUAAC